GGAGAGGUGGCCGAGCGGUUGAAGGCGCACGCUUGGAAAGCGUGUGUAGGUCAAAAGCCUACCGAGGGUUCGAAUCCCUCCCUCUCCGCCA
rnacentral:tRNA from 1 species